rnacentral:tRNA from 1 species
GCUGUAGCUCAGUGGCAGAGCACUUGCCUAGCACAUGUGAGGCCCUGCAUUCGAUCCUCAGCACUGCA